GGAUCACGCGCAUUGUCCUGAGCAGUCUUCGAGAGCAGCGGACGUCAAUAAAUCAUGCACGGUCUAAAAGAACAGAUUCCCGCUUGAAAAUUUGUCUUCAUUUCAAAUUUUAUUGGUUUCAAAAGUUGAAGAAAUCCCCGCAUGUUGAAAAUGAUAAUGACGGAACGAAGCUAUAGGAAAAUAUUUUGACAUGGUCCGCUGAGGGAAUAUAGCAUCAAUACGACUCUCGGAUCUUCAAUAGGGCACCAUGUUGUUACCGCAAAUAAAUAUGUUAAAUAAAGGAAGACAACCACCACUUUCAACUUAUUCAUCAUCAUCAUCAGCAGCAGCAGCAGCAGCAUCGUUAACAGCAGCAGCAGUAGUAGUAGUAGUAGCAACAGCAGAAGCAGCACAAACAGCAGAAGCUUCAGCGUAUUGCAGCAUGAUUGUCCUUUCUACCAAAGAGAACCGGACAUCAGAAGCUGUGGUAAAGCAUCAAGAAAAACCAGCACAAAGGGUUUACCAUUAAGAAUUUUAUUACGAAACUCUUCAAAGGAACUCAUUAAGAGACGUCUUGGGUUGGAAAAUAUAAAACAACUGACAAUGGAGCUUAGAACAUAAUUCGUGCUUGGCGCAAAAGACUGUUCUUUAUCUAAUGAUAAUAGUUUUUGUGGACUUCCAUAUUUACAUGUUUGACGUUAUAUAUUAAUUAAUAAAGUUCUGUGUUUUUGUUAUCUUUGAGAGAGGAAGUGAAGGGGAGAGCAGGGGGAGAGUGAGUGUUGGGAAGAGUGGAGUGAGAGAGUAAUUAGUCUAGCACUCUCCCUCUGUCACUCACUCAUUCGCCCCACUCUUUUCCCCACUCUCUUACAUCGAACUCUCAUUCAUUCUUUUGCCAAUUCUCCCCUCUCAC